ensembl:lncRNA
GCACAGGGCAUAAGAAGAGUGUCCUGUUAAUAACCUAGUUGUUUUACAAGCUGUAAAUUUAGGUUGGAUUAGCUACUGUUCUGAACUCAUACAGAAUAUCAAUGAAAAAUGCAAAUAAACCUAAAUGCACAAGCAAUGCACUUAUUGUCAUAUUCAUUCAGCUUUUGUUUUUGACAUCUCUGUGGCUGCUCUGUGAACUCUGUCUUAUCCUCGGAAACCAUUUGUGAAGUUUUUAUUUGGCAUAAAGUAACUUAGGAAACUACUCAUCAAGAAAUAACUUAGGCCAGAGAGAAUUUGAUUUGGUGGAAUAUAAGGUAAAGGCAUUUAUUCCUCACUUCUGAGUAUACUGUUACCUUCCCUUCAUACCUGCCUACCCCCACUCCUGGAUCUAUAAAACAAGUUUAAAAAAUGAAUGAAGAAGUAUAUAAAUAUUAUCAACAAGAAAUAAUAGCUAGUAUUUGUUGAGUUUGUACCAGGCUUUGUGACAUGUAUUUUAUGUGUUAUCUCAUUUGAUAUUCACAACAACAUUUAGGCAGGUUGUAUAUUAUUAUCUAUUUUAUAAAUUGUGAAAAUAAAUAACAGAUGAAGUAGUUAAAUUAUUCAGAGUCACACAGCUAGAAAAUGGUUGACUAGGAUGAAUAUUAAUCUCUUAUAGUUGUGCUUGAUUGCAAAAAUGACUCUAACCUGUCUUUUCUCUGUAUUCACACCCCUCCAUUGUGACUUUGAAGCUUGGUUCAUCAUGGGGUGGAGUGUGUUUUUCCACUGUGAAUCAAGGCUUGCCAUGUGGCUUGCUUGGCUAAUAGGAUGUGAUGAGUGUGACUAUAUGUCACUUCAAGCUUGGGCUGCAAGAGGUAUUGCACAUUUUCAACUCAGGCUUUUGGGACCCUACCUCUGCCAUGAGAACAAGCCAAGGUUAGCUUAUGAGAAGGGGAAUGAUAUGAUCAUCUUUGAAGUUUAAAAAUCAUUCUGGCAUCAGUGAGAGAUUGGAAAAGAAGAGGGUCCCUGGAUUCAGAGUGACCAGUUAGAAAAUGCUCCAGGACCGCGGUGGGAGACGAUGGUGGUCAGACCAGAGUGAUGGUGGUGAAGAUGCUGUGGAAGUGGAAGCUGUCAGAUUUCUAAAAGAAAUUCUGGGAGGUCAUUAGCGAAGAACUCCCACUUCUAGGUAAGGCAAAUCUUCUGUGUUUCUGCCAACUUCUCAAUAUAGACUGUGUUGCAAAAAUAUUAUACUGAUGCCUUAUUUGUUGCCAAGAAAGUUACAAUUUCAGAACUUUCUGACCAAAGGGAAAUAAAGGAAAGGGAGCUUCAAGCACUUGAGAGGAAGGGGAUGUUCAAGGCGAUGAAGCGAGUAUUGAAAACCCAGGAAAGGGAAUCUGGAGGGGAAACUAAAAGAGCAAUAAAGCUUUAUGACACUUCUCUUUUCCAUGUUUCAUCUAUCAAACAAGACCUCCUUACCCUAGGACCAAAGCAAAAUGACUUCUGUAGGUCCUUUUUAUGAAGACGUUUCCAAACAUUUCCUUUGGAAAAAGCUUUCUAAUGCAAAUCUGCAGUUAAGAGGAUGAGCAUAUGCUGGCUUUUUCCCGCACGUGUGUGUGUGUGUGUGUGUGUGUGGGGGGGGGUGUGUAUGUGUGUGUGUAUAUGUGUGUGUACAAACACACGCAUGCUCACACACAUGCAGAUCCAACAGUUUGCACAGAAUUUGAGAAUAACUUCUGCUAUUUUUUUUGGUUUGGAAUGACAGUGUUUCCAUAGCAAUGUGGACUUGUGUUUUUGAGAGGCUAUUUUAAUGGGCCUUUGGCAAGCCAUGUACAAUCAUUACUUGCACAUGAAUCUGGCUUCUUUGGCACUAGUUUGUUAUAAAGGAAAUUCUAGGGUCACUGGAUUGGUGGGCUUUGGUGUAAAACCUUUAAGUCCCAUCUACAUCACGCAUCUGUGAUGAAACACAUCCUGCCUUCCUUUCAGUAUUUGUAGCUUAGCUGCCUCUCUGUGCCUGCCCAAUCCUGACCACAGAACAGCUGGAGGUACUAGGAGCAUGUAUUUGAUUUUUUUGGUCAACAGUGUGGGUAACAAAAUUACUUGCUGGACUUGCUGUUGUUUACAUUUUACUAUUUAAACUGUCUUCACGAAGGGCAUUUGUUCCCAGCUCAUGUGGUCCAAAGUCCCCAUUUGGUUGUCUGAAAAAGUCACUUUGAACCUUCACAGUCCUUUCGUGUCACUACAUCAAAUCAGACUGGCUUCUUUAUUCAUGCUUUCUUGUGAGCUAAAUCAAGU